ACACUGCCUUUCUAGCGCGGCCGCGCCAUGGGCGGGGCGCCCGCGCCAGUUGCAGCGCGCCCGCGCCAUGGGCGGCGCGCCCGCCCCGUUCCGCCAGAAUUAAAAAAAAAAACUGCUGCCUUUAUAUGCAAUUUUCAGCUCGUUUUUUUUACACACCCAGCCACAACAUCCUUUCCUCAGCCGAUUUCUAACCUCCCAAAACCCAAUUUCAGAAUCCCAUUAGUUUAUAAACACAUAAACUCCUCUUUUAAUCCAAUCUCUUCCAUAUAUAUACACUACACCUAUAUAUACACAAAAUCCCUAAUUCUCUCAAACCUUCGACCAAGCUUCAAAACUUCAAUCCAUGGCACCUAAGAGAGCAAGGAGGGCAGUGAGUUCGAGUGUUCAAGCCGGAUCGACGGAUUCUUCUAGUUCGGGGUAUGGUGCUAUCAAUUUCACAACUCCGG
rnacentral:lncRNA from 1 species